rnacentral:rRNA from 1 species
UACGAAGGGGGCUAGCGUUGUUCGGAUUUACUGGGCGUAAAGCGCACGUAGGCGGAUCGUUAAGUCGGGGGUGAAAUCCUGGAGCUCAACUCCAGAACUGCCUCCGAUACUGGCGAUCUCGAGUCCGGAAGAGGUGAGUGGAACUCCUAGUGUAGAGGUGGAAUUCGUAGAUAUUAGGAAGAACACCAGUGGCGAAGGCGGCUCACUGGUCCGGUACUGACGCUGAGGUGCGAAAGCGUGGGGAGCAAACAGG